ensembl:lncRNA
GACAUAUGGUGUCUUAGAAGCGGCUUUUGAACUCUUGGAUAUGGCGAAAUUUUUUGCGCUAGGACCCUUGGUUUUGGUCCUAUGCUUGGUCUUAUAUGCAGGAAAAAGUGAUGCAGGUGAGUGUUGCUCUGUUUCUGUUAUGCUGUUCCUGAUUAAACAUAUGGGUCAUAAAAUAUAUAUCAGUGAAAAGUUCUUCAUGCUGUCAAUCCAUCAUUACAGUCCCUCAGUCAAACUCCUCCACUCUCACCACUUCACCAGACACACCUGCAGACACCACCAAAGGUAAAGCUGACAUCAAACUCCAGCUUCCCAUCAUGCGCACGUUACUGAGUACAUUCAAUGAUUGAUGUAUACGUGUGUGUGUGUGUUUUCAUAUUAAAAAUGUUUAGCCAAUUUUCUAUAAUAAAAAUAAACAUAUUUUGGAGGUAAACA